rnacentral:rRNA from 1 species
UGGGGAAUAUUGGACAAUGGGGGCAACCCUGAUCCAGCCAUGCCGCGUGUGUGAAGAAGGCCUUCGGGUUGUAAAGCUCUUUUAGUCGGAAAGAAAGAGUUGCAAUGAAUAAUUGUGAUUUAUGACGGUACCGACAGAAAAAGCACCGGCUAACUACGUGCCAGCAGCCGCGGUAAUACGUAGGGUGCGAGCGUUAAUCGGAAUUACUGGGCGUAAAGGGUGCGCAGGCGGUCUUGCAAGUCAGAUGUGAAAGCCCCGGGCUUAACCUGGGAAUCUCGUUUGAAACUACAAGGCUAGAGUGCAGCAGAGGGGAGUGGAAUUCCAUGUGUAGCAGUGAAAUGCGUAGAGAUGUGGAAGAACACCGAUGGUGAAGGCAGCUCCCUGGGUUGACACUGACGCUCAUGCACGAAAGCGUGGGGAGCAAACA